rnacentral:miRNA from 1 species
GAGAAUGAGAAGGAGGAGUAACAAAAGUGAAAACAAUUUGAAAUAGAUUUCAUUUUUUAGUUUUUGUUUUCACUUUUGUUACUCCUCAUUUCCAUCU